AUGCUUCAGCCUGUGGAUGGAUUGAUUAAUGCAAGUAACCAGGAGAGAAGGUGCGUUAGCUGGGGCUAUCCAUGUCGGGUCGCUCAUGAGGGGAAGAGGGAGGGAGGAGCAUCAAGGAAGCUUCGUCCUGCUCCCAUACCAAGGAAGCCACGCCCACACCAACACAUACAAAUAUUUUUCCUGCCAACCCAUUCAACCUGCUCGUCUCUCGCCCAGCGAGGACCGUGGUUGCCACUUGUCACGCCACCGUUUCCUAGCACCCUCAGCGACCAGGGAAGCAGCCGGGUGGAGACAGGGGCAUUCUCCUUUUUAUCCGCAGCUUCCGCCUCCUGCACUAUAGGUGCUGCUGUCGACGCUGCUCCUUCUCUUCCCCUCGGAGGAUUGGAUCGUUCAUUGUUGAAUCGAAUGAAUGUAGUGGAUCCUUUUGUGUUGAUAAUCUACUGA
rnacentral:rRNA from 1 species